rnacentral:snRNA from 1 species
GGCAUUUGGCUGCCUUCUGUCACUCUCAGAAAAAUACAGAGAUUAUAAUGGCCCCUACACAAGGAUGACAUGAAGAUUCAUGAAACAUUCCAUUAAAAAA